AACGAACGCUGGCGGCGUGCCUAACACAUGCAAGUCGAACGUGAUCCACCCUUCGGGGUAGUGAAAGUGGCGCACGGGUGAGUAACGCGUAGAUAAUCUGCCCGAUGCUCUGGGAUAACAUCUCGAAAGGGGUGCUAAUACCUGAUAAGCCCACGGGGUCUUUGGACCCUGCGGGAAAAGAGGGGGACCUUCGGGCCUCUUGACAUCGGAUGAGUCUGCGUACCAUUAGCUAGUUGGUGGGGUAAAGGCCUACCAAGGCGACGAUGGUUAGUUGGUCUGAGAGGAUGAUCAGCCACACUGGAACUGAGACACGGUCCAGACUCCUACGGGAGGCAGCAGUGGGGAAUUUUGCGCAAUGGGGGAAACCCUGACGCAGCAACGCCGCGUGAGUGAUGAAGGCCUUCGGGUCGUAAAGCUCUGUCAGAGGGAAAGAAAUGCGGGGUGCUAAUAUCAUUUCCGCUUGACGGUACCCUCAAAGGAAGCACCGGCUAACUCCGUGCCAGCAGCCGCAGUAACAC
rnacentral:rRNA from 1 species